rnacentral:tRNA from 3 species
GCGGAUGUGGCGGAAUUGGCAGACGCGCUAGACUUAGGAUCUAGUGGGGCAACCCGUGGGAGUUCGAGUCUCCCCAUCCGCA